CGCGAAGAACCUUACCAAGGCUUGACAUGAACCGGACCGCCGCAGAGAUGCGGUUUCCCUUCGGGGCUGGUUUACAGGUGGUGCAUGGUUGUCGUCAGCUCGUGUCGUGAGAUGUUGGGUUAAGUCCCGCAACGAGCGCAACCCUCGUUCUAUGUUGCCAGCACGUGAUGGUGGGGACUCAUAGGAGACUGCCGGGGUCAACUCGGAGGAAGGUGGGGAUGACGUCAAAUCAUCAUGCCCCUUAUGUCUUGGGCUUCAAGCAUGCUACAAUGGCCGAUACAAAGGGUUGCGAUACUGUGAGGUGGAGCUAAUCCCAAAAAGUCGGUCUCAGUUCGGAUUGGGGUCUGCAACUCGACCCCAUGAAGUCGGAGUCGCUAGUAAUCGCAGAUCAGCAACGCUGCAGUGAAUACGUUCCCGGGCCUUGUACACACCG
rnacentral:rRNA from 1 species